CUCCUGUAUAGGUACCUUUGCUUCCUUGAAGCAGGAUGCCUGGAAGUAUUCUUUAUAAAAUAACCCUUCAUUUUGCUAAGGGUCUGCUGCAACUGCUUUUAAAGAUGAAUUGAUGUAAUUGCUGCGACAGCAUUCCUGGCUUGAUUUUCCUCUCUCUUCUGCCAGUGUGUGAACAGCAAAAGGUUCAUCAAACUCAUUGGAGUGGGUCAAAUCAACCUCUUUUAAUGCCUGGGUGUGACCCCACAGCACGGGACCAUAAAGACUCCAUCCACAAAUUAAAGAUUUCUCCUGCUGGCAGGCCUGCUGAGUAACCAAGCCCCAAGUCAAAAUCACCUUCUGGUAAACACAGAGACUCUGGUAACCCUAAAAGGCUGCCGAAGCAGAACUUGUCUGAACCACAGUUUGCCGGCUUUCUUCUUUGUGACUAAUGACCACCAUGAAGAGCUUCACAGCAGUGUGGCCUGUUACCGGAGCCAGAAAAUACUUGUUUUUGCCUACAAGGGCAGUCUGUGCAUUUUAAGGUAUGUUUAUCAUUAUUUGUCAUGUUUAGCUGUUUGUUUCUUUAAAGACGACUCACAUCUCCAACCUCUGACAAGGUUUAACCAGUGCCGAGGCUGCGGCAACAGAAAUUUCCUAAAUCCAGGCAUUUGCGACACAGUAAUUAAAUGCCCGCAUGCUACUGUCGGCCCCCCUGCCUCCUAAUCCCAGUAAAUUUUGAGCUUUCUAAAAUCAGGCCGUUUCAGAUAUGAAUAAAUCUAUAUGUUAAACCA
rnacentral:lncRNA from 1 species